ACUACGAGAUGUUUACCGGAAACGUAAAUGGCGACUACCGACUUUUGAGAUUGUUUUGGUGUGUUGUGCCCGUGUUCCUUGUGAAUAGUUGAUACUCAAAUGUGUGAAAAGAGAGUUCUGUGAACGCCAGGAUAUAAGAAGGGAACACAUGGAGAAUGAAGCCGACUGUACCUAACUUUGCUGGUCAUGCGUGACUGUCCCUCCGGCACAAAAUGCAGAGGCAGAUCACGGACCUGACACAGCAUCUAAAUGGUCACAAACCCGUCCCAUGUACAAAGCGACGUUGUGUCAUGUGCAGUAAGCAACACGGCCUGGAGCGUCGGAGCACAUAUCAAUGUGGAACUUGCGGUGUAGUGCUGUGUGUAGGCAGACGGCGUAAUUGCUUUCUCAAUUACCACUUAGAUUUGUCCAUGCCUGGCACUGAAGUAACAAAGUGUGAUGAAUCAUGGGAUUGACUGUUAAACUAGUGUAACUUGUGUAAAGAUGGGGGGGACGUACGAAACGUGUUUUAGCUGUGACCUGUCCAUUUCUGUACACCACUCGGUUUUGACUUGUAUAAUAGUGGCUAGCUAUAGAGUUUAUUCUCUGUGUAUGCUCGAGAAUAUGUUCAAAUUAUAGCUUGGGGAAUGUACUUUGUUUCAUUUGGGUUAGGCUGGGACACAUCCUCUCGCAUUUUUUAACUGCCCUUGCAUUGCAUUUCAGUCUGACACUCGGUAUGACAACUACUUUAUCACCCCUAGCCGUAAAUCAAAGAUACAUCGAGUCGUCAUCAUCAUCACUAAAUAAUAGAAGCAUUGCAUUCAUGCCAUAAUAUUUCGUGGUGCUUUUUGCUGAAUAGAAAUGGUUUGCGUUUGAAAUGGUGUCAGAUGCAUGUUCUGUGACAAUAAACAAGCUUGUUCCAGUUCA